CGAGGGGGAAAGACCGGACCGCUCCGACCCACCCCCUCCCCACCCCCACCUCCCACCUUAAAGCACCUUAUACCACGGAAGCCUCGCAGCCUCCUCUUUCCUCCGCGAAAGCACUGAGCAGCGAUUGAAAACGUUUUGGUCCUCUGCAGGUUUGAGCAGGGCUGGCAGGGCUUUCUCCUUCGGAUUUCUAGGGCUAUGGGGGUGCGUUCUGGGGUCCCUGCGCAAGACCCGCUCUCUCUUCCUCGGACGUGGAGCGGGAGCGGGCCCUUCCCUCGGGCCGACCGCGCCGUAGGGGACGCCGAGAAAAGAGUCGCCGCGCCGCUGCCUCCUGCCCGCUGCGCAGAGGGCUCCGCGCGUAGAGGUCAACUCUUCCCUUACCCCUUCCUCUCUCCUGCUCGCCCUCCCUCCGCCUGGCCCGGGCGCUCCAGCCUCCUGACUCCUGCCGCAGUCUGAGGAGCGCGCGUCCGCUGCGCUGCCCGGAAAGCCGAAGCCCGUCUCCGGGCCCAGACCCGAGGUCCGCGCGCCCCCGCAGUGGGGAAGCCUUAGCGAGCAGCUUUUUCUCUCCGCAGCAAAACCAUAGCCAGACCAGAUGGGCCGCUCAGCUCUCCCGGGACUAGACAGGUGCGGUUGAGUUAAUUUUUCCGCAUUACAAAGAAAGAUGACCCAGCCCGCCCUUGGACUCUCAUCUUUUCCCAAAAUCUCCCAAGCAAAACCGCGGUAACGUUAUCAGAGGACGCAGAGCCCAGGCAUAUCGGAGUGUUUCUCUUACACGUACACACGCAUGUGUGUCUUCCCUUUGAUAUGCUAGAUUUCCUCCCCGACAGCAGGACAUAACUGGCAACGAUUUCUGCAGCAGAACACGCCAUGGCACUGUCCUUAAAAGCCUGCCAUUCCUUGCAAGUGCCUUAGAAGGGAUCCAGGGCAAACCAAGUGGGUUAAUUGCCUUCGGUGAAACAACACGAUCACGAAAUUA